GGGGAAUAUUGCACAAUGGGGGAAACCCUGAUGCAGCGACGCCGCGUGAGUGAAGAAGUAAUUCGUUAUGUAAAGCUCUAUCAGCAGGGAAGAAAAAGGCAUACAUGCCUAAAUGACGGUACCUGAAUAAGAAGCCCCGGCUAACNACGUGCCAGCAGCCGCGGUAAUACGUAGGGGGCAAGCGUUAUCCGGAUUUACUGGGUGUAAAGGGAGCGCAGACGGCAGUGCAAGUCUGGAGUGAAAGGCGGGGGCUCAACCCCCGGACUGCUCUGGAAACUGUACAGCUGGAGUGCAGGAGAGGUAAGUGGAAUUCCUAGUGUAGCGGUGAAAUGCGUAGAUAUUAGGAGGAACACCAGUGGCGAAGGCGGCUUACUGGACUGUAACUGACGUUGAGGCUCGAAAGCGUGGGGAGCAAACAGG
rnacentral:rRNA from 1 species